GACGAACGCUGGCGGCGUGCUUAACACAUGCAAGUCGAACGGAAAGGCCCUGCUUUUGUGGGGUGCUCGAGUGGCGAACGGGUGAGUAACACGUGAGUAACCUGCCCUUGACUUUGGGAUAACUUCAGGAAACUGGGGCUAAUACCGGAUAGGAGCUCCUGCUGCAUGGUGGGGGUUGGAAAGUUUCGGCGGUUGGGGAUGGACUCGCGGCUUAUCAGCUUGUUGGUGGGGUAGUGGCUUACCAAGGCUUUGACGGGUAGCCGGCCUGGGAGGGUGACCGGCCACAUUGGGACUGAGGUACGGCCCAGACUCCUACGGGAGGCAGCAGUGGGGAAUAUUGCACAAUGGGCGGAAGCCUGAUGCAGCAACGCCGCGUGCGUGAUGACGGCCUGCGGGUUGUAAACCGCUUUCGCCUGUGACGAAGCGUGAGUGACGGUAAUGGGUAAAGAAGCACCGGCUAACUACGUG
rnacentral:rRNA from 1 species